CAGGAGUAGAAUCGUGAUCUGACUGAGGGUUCUCCACCCUCAGAUUAGUCAUUCCGAGAAAGACGGGGCAACUGGCCCAAGUGGCCCGUCCUACCACUGGAUUUUGGAGUUUCGACGACGUUCUCUCCAGUCGCACUGACGCUUGCGGCUGUUGCUGCUGCUGCAUGGCCUGCACCACUUCAGUGAGGCCUCUGACCUGCUGAACCAGUAGGUCGAAUUGCUCCGUGCCAACCACCAUUGUCGGAGGAGGAGGAGGAGCC
rnacentral:lncRNA from 1 species